rnacentral:rRNA from 1 species
CUACGGGUUGCUGCAGUAAGGAAUAUUGCGCAAUGGAGGCAACUCUGACGCAGCCAUGCCGCGUGCAGGACUGAAGGCCUUAUGGGUCGUAAACUGCUUUUAUUUAGGAAUAAACUCUUGUACGUGUACGAGACUGAAGGUACUAAAUGAAUAAGCACCGGCUAACUCCGUGCCAGCAGCCGCGGUAAUACGGAGGGUGCAAGCGUUUCCGGAUUUAUUGGGUUUAAAGGGUGCGCAGGCGGACUAUUAAGUCAGAGGUGAAAUCCCGGAGCUCAACUUCGGAACUGCCCUUGAUACUGGUAGUCUUGAAUACGGUUGAAGUAGGCGGAAUGUAGCAUGUAGCGGUGAAAUGCAUAGAGAUGCUACAGAACACCGAUCGCGAAGGCAGCUUACUAAGCCGAUAUUGACGCUCAGGCACGAAAGCGUGGGGAGCGAACAGGAUUAGAUACCCGAGUAGUC